rnacentral:rRNA from 1 species
CAAUAGCGUAUAUUUAAGUUGUUGCAGUUAAAAAGCUCGUAGUCGGAUUUUGGCUGAGAACGAACGGUCCGCCGUUAGGUGUGCACUGUUUGGUCUCAGCUUCCUGGUGAGGAGGUGUGCUUCACGGCCACUUAGUCACCGUGGUUACUUUGAAAAAAUUAGAGUGUUCAAAGCGGGCUUACGCUUGAAUAUAUUAGCAUGGAAUAACACCAUAGGACUCCUGUCCUAUUUCGUUGGUCUCGGGACGGGAGUAAUGAUUAAGAGGAACAGUUGGGGGCAUUCGUAUUUCAUUGUCAGAGGUGAAAUUCUUGGAUUUAUGAAAGACGAACUUCUACGAAAGCAUUUGCCAAGGAUGUUUUCAUUGA